rnacentral:rRNA from 1 species
CCCUUAGAUGUCCUGGGCUGCACGCGCGCUACACUGAUGUGUCCAGUAUGCACCUAACCUCUUCCGAAAGGAACGGGUAACCUUUGCAAAGCACAUCGUGAUGGGGAUAGAUUAUUGCAAUUAUUAGUCUUGAACGAGGAAUUCCUAGUAAGCACAAGUCAUCAGCUUGUGUUGAUUACGUCCCUGCCCUUUGUACACACCGCCCGUCGCUCCUACCGAUUGAAUGUUCCGGUGAGCUCUUCGGACUGCGCGGUCUGCAGUUUCUGCGUUCCGUGCGGAAAGUUGCGCAAACCUUAACAUUUAGAGGAAGGAGAAGUCGUAACA